rfam:Pteropus alecto contig80894, whole genome shotgun sequence.
AUGCUCACUUCAGUGGCACACAUACUAAAAUUGGGACAAUACAGAGAUUAGCAUGGCCCCUCCACAAGGAUGACACACAAAUCUGUGAAGCUCGCUCUCUCUCU